CCUACGGGAGGCAGCAGUGAGGAAUAUUGGUCAAUGGGCGAGAGUCUGAACCAGCCAAGUAGCGUGAAGGAUGACUGCCCUAUGGGUUGUAAACUUCUUUUAUAUGGGAAUAAAAUGUUCCACGUGUGGGAUUUUGUAUGUACCAUAUGAAUGAGGAUCGGCUAACUCCGUGCCAGCAGCCGCGGUAAUACGGAGGAUCCGAGCGUUAUCCGGAUUUAUUGGGUUUAAAGGGAGCGUAGGUGGAUUGUUAAGUCAGUUGUGAAAGUUUGCGGCUCAACCGUAAAAUUGCAGUUGAAACUGGCAGUCUUGAGUACAGUAGAGGUGGGCGGAAUUCGUGGUGUAGCGGUGAAAUGCUUAGAUAUCACGAAGAACUCCGAUUGCGAAGGCAGUUCACUGGACUGCAACUGACACUGAGGCUCGAAAGUGUGGGUAUCAAACAGGAUUAGAUACCCGAGUAGUC
rnacentral:rRNA from 1 species